rnacentral:rRNA from 1 species
GGAAUAUUGGACAAUGGGGGCAACCCUGAUCCAGCAAUGCCGCGUGAGUGAUGAAGGCCUUCGGGUUGUAAAGCUCUUUUGCCAGGGACGAUGAUGACGGUACCUGGAGAAUAAGCCCCGGCUAACUUCGUUCCAGCAGCCGCGGUAAUACGAAGGGGGCAAGCGUUGUUCGGAAUUACGGGGCGUAAAGGGCGCCUAGGCGGCUUAUCAAGUCAGGCGUGAAAUUCCCGGGCUCAACCUGGGGGCUGCGCUUGAUACUGAUGAGCUUGAAUGCGGGAGUGGAUAGUGGAAUUCCCAGUGUAGAUGUGAAAUUCGUAGAUAUUGGGAAGAACACCGGUGGCGAAGGCGGCUAUCUGGCCCGUAAUUGACGCCGAGGCGCGAAAGCGUGGGGAGCAA